rnacentral:tRNA from 1 species
UCUAAUAUGGCAGAUAAGUGCGGUAGAUUUAAGCUCUACAUAUAAAGAAUAUCCUUUUAUUAGAA